GGCGGCGCGCAUAAUGCAUGCAAGUCGAACGAAGUCCCACCCUUCGGGGUGACGACUUAGUGGCAGACGGCUGAGUAACACGUGAGUGAUCUGCCUUUGGGUGAGGGACAACAGAGGGAAACUUCUGCUAAUACCUCAUACGAUCCAUGAUCUAAGGUCUUGGAUGAAAGGUGCCGGGUAACUGGUUGCCGCCCUUAGAUGAGCUCGCGGCCUAUCAGGUUGUUGGUGGGGUAAUGGCCUACCAAGCCUAAGACGGGUAGCUGGUGUGAGAGCACGACCAGUCAGAGGGGGACUGAGACACGGCCCCCACUCCUACGGGAGGCAGCAGCAGGGAAUCUUCCACAAUGGGCGAAAGCCUGAUGGAGCGACGCCGCGUGAGGGAUGAAGGCUCUAGGGUCGUAAACCUCUUUUCUUAGGGAAGAGCAAGGACGGUACCUAAGGAAUAAGUGACGGCUAACUACGUGCCAGCAGCCGCGGUAAUACGUAGGUCACAAACGUUGUCCGGAAUUAUUGGGCGUAAAGGGUCCGUAGGCGGUUCGGUAAGUCUCCUGUGAAAUCUUCAGGCUCAACUUGAAGAGGUCGGGGGAUACUGCUGAACUUGAGACUGACAGAGGCAAGUGGAAUUCCCGGUGUAGUGGUGAAAUGCGUAGAUAUCGGGAGGAACACCAAUGGCGAAAGCGGCUUGCUGGGUCAGUUCUGACGCUGAGGGACGAAAGCGUGGGUAGCAAACCGGAUUAGAUACCCGGGUAGUCCACGCCGUAAACGAUGAAUGCUAGGUUUUCGGGGUAUCGACCCCCUGGGAGCCGUAGUUAACGCGAUAAGCAUUCCGCCUGGGGACUACGGUCGCAAA
rnacentral:rRNA from 1 species